GAAAAACACGUGGGUAAUCUUUGCCACCACUGUUAGUUAAAAACUUUGGCAAUUCUACCAGUAUUAAUUGCGAGACAAGUAGUCUGCAGCAUUUUACCGUUCAUCGGGCUUUAACGUGAAACUUUUUUUCUUCGAAUUACGGAUAUACUGGAAGAUGUGUAAUUGAGGAACGCUUGGUAUUUAAUCCCUCUUAAAUUUACUUAGAGGGUCCUUGUUCGAUACCGAAAUUCCUUGUUCGGGGGAAAUAUCUUGUUCGAGAUCACCUGUUGAUUGGGGGAAAAUUUUGGAGAUUCAUUAUCAACCAUAGACACCUAGGAGGUCGUGACCAACAACCUUAUCUGAGGGAGAUAAGAGCGGCCAUUUUAUGAAGACGAGGGAGAAACUCAUUUAACUACAUACUGUUUCGACAUGAUCGAGAAUGCCUUUUUUUUGCUUGAUCGGAUAUAUUAAUUUUUGUGUGGCUGCGACACUCCAUCAGAGACACAGACAUUUUUAGAGGGGUAUCGAGAUUUGAGCUUACCGCAUGCUUCGUAGGUCCUUCAGACAUUUAUUCAUAAUAUAUUCCGAACCCUGUGGUUUGGGCCCUUUUUGUUCUCUUUUGAUUGCAGAGAUGAAUGGUG